rnacentral:rRNA from 1 species
AUUGAACGCUGGCGGCAUGCCUUACACAUGCAAGUCGAACGGCAGCACGGGUGCUUGCACCUGGUGGCGAGUGGCGAACGGGUGAGUAAUACAUCGGAACAUGUCCUGUAGUGGGGGAUAGCCCGCCGAAAGCCGGAUUAAUACCCCAUACGAUCUACGAAGGAAAGGGGGGGCCCUUCGGGCCUCGCGUUAUAGGGUUGGCCGAUGGCUGAUUAGCUAGUUGGUGGGGUAAAGGCCUACCAAGGCGCCGCUCAGAAGCUGGUCUGAGAGGACGACCAGCCACACUGAGACUGAGACACGGCCCAGACUCCUACGGGAGGCAGCAGUGGGGAAUUUUGGACAAUGGGCGAAAGCCUGAUCCAGCAAUGCCGCGUGUGUGAAGAAGGCCUUCGGGUUGUAUAGCACUUUUGUCCGGAAAGAAAUCCUUGGCCCUAAUACGGUCGGGGGAUGACGGUACCGGAAGAAUAAGCACCGGCUAACUACGU